ensembl:lncRNA
CACUUUUACAAUUAGGCAUAAGUGCUAAGGUUUAAUAGUUAUAUAUGUUAUAUAUGAUUUCCGCCAUUGAUAUUGCCCAAUUCAUAAGCUAUGCGUUACUAUAAUGUUAAACCUGUAUGCAUAUCAGAGCAAUAUGCCGAGUGUUUGUCACGGCUUGGUAAAUGUAUCAUCUUAAGAAGAUUUGAGGAACACACACACACACACACACACACACAAACACACACACAUACAUACACACACACACACACACACACACACACACACACACACACAAGCAAACACACUGACACACCCGCUCACUUCAAACAGAUUUGAAUAUUGAUUUAGAUUUAUAAACAGAGACAGACCGUGGGUUUUAUGAAUCGUCAGUCGCCUCUGUAGCAGUCUUUUUAGAGUAGCAUAGCAUAUGUCAAAAGUGCAGUAUUGAACAUGGACUAAUCAAACAUUUAUGUAGGCUAAUUUCUUUUUACAGACUGAUUAAUGGAAAUUAUCGUGGAUCACGCUCUCUGACAUUUUAACGCCUAACGUCUGUCACGGACUCAACUUGUUUUCUUUUUGGUUGGAGCAAAGUUUCCCAACAUGAUCAAAUUUAUGACCGGGCUUUCUUAGCAGCUCUCUGUCCUUGCGAGAUGGAGGAAUGGCAUGUUAAGGGACUUUCUAUCUUAAAAGGAGGACGACGUUUAAAGGGAAACCGAGUUAACGCUUCUGGCAAUCAGCGCUCCAACUGACUCCGGGCUAAUUGACGACGACGACGUCUUUUAUCUGUGCCUCUGAGCCUCUGCAACAAACACAUGGAAUCAAUUUAAUAGACUCUCCUUCAGACCAUCUAAAUGAGGGAGCAAAGUCAAGACCCGUGGAAAUCCAACAAGGACAAAUUAUACAGGAUAAAAAAUAAAACUCAAGGUCUGUUUUGUUUGUCAGACCUGAAUAUGGAUGGGGGUCAGCUACCAGGCUCCCUGAGGUAUUCUGUCAGGCCUCCUGACAGCAGUGGAGCAUUUAAACCCCCAGUGGAUUAUACCUCCCUGUGAGAAAGGAGAGUGAAAGAGAAAAGUGCUCCUGUGUGAGUCAGUCUGUGUUUGUGCCUUUUCCAAACCCCACUUUCCUUUGACUGACACUUUGGCGAUGCCCACAGCUCCCUGCUUCGACUUCUCAAGUGUACCCCCUGUUAGUGCCGACGCUGCCAAUUCCUCUCAUGUCUUUAAUAUCUCUCUUUGGGCCUUCGCGUUUUGCCAGUCAAGGCUCCCCCAUGACAGUUGGACGUUGCUGCCGUCACAUUUUGGAGACAGUGCUGGGUGGGUGUUUGUUGCGUUCCCAGCCCCUAGCCUGGAGGGUUUUUUUGGGACGGCUGGCCCGUCAGUCAGCCACUCCCCUGUAAUUAGAUGAGCAAACACGGAGGCGGCCUGGCCUGAGAGGGCGGGGAGGGGGGUGAGCUGCACCGCCAGUUCACACUUUGAACAGGGAUGUUUUCUGUAAAGCUCGUCUUCCCUACGUAAGGAAGGUUUAGCUAUAACAUUGUGUAAGAUCUAGAAAAUGCUGUCACUAGCUCAUUUACAAAUGCCAUAAAUCUAGAUUUGUUUUGUGUGGCUGAAAUGGGGUACAGUUUUAAGAGAAAUUUAGAGAAUACCAUUUUCGGAAUUUCUUAGUUGAAUAUGUUAUUUUCUGUAUUUCAUAUAAAUGUUGAAUAAAAAACAACUGUCCUGCAUAGUGUUUGAAUCUCUAAAUGAAUCAGCUAAAUACGAUUAGUCCUAUGUUUGUCCCAUAUUUGUUUUGUGCAAUUACGAUAUCAAGCUGAACUGAAUGUUGAAACAUUUAUUUUGCCAUUUUGGAAUCACUGAACACUGAAGAUGUUUCUGAAUACUUAAAAAACCUUUUAUAGAUGACACCAUGGUUAAGGAUCAUCAAAAUAUUGUGAAUAAAUAUAAGUGAGAAGGUUACAGACCCUCCCCUUAAGAUUCAGUCUGGGAGUUUUGCGAUUAACAAAAAGCAUGUAAUAUGUUGUUUAUAUGUGUGUAAUUUGUAGAAGAAUUCCUACCAUGCCUCAGUUAGCUUUUACAUUCCAAGUUUGAAAUGAUCUUGAUGACAUGGGGCACAAAUCAGCAAGUACAUGACAAUAGUAGAAAAUGUUCACGGACAAUUCUUGGCUCGACAGUGGCAAUUUGACAACCUGUUGCCAGAAAUCGUGCACUUUAUCUUUCGAAAAUGUUACUUUAAUCUUUAAUCUGGCUGGUUAAUGUAGAGGUCUACACCCUUUUCAAAAAUACAUUGGAUGUUGAGUCAAUUUGAUCAAUUAAGAAUGGACAAUUAAUUUUGUAUUAUUUGUUUAAUCAGGUUCACCAUAUCUAUUUUUGAAAGUCUCAGUGGCAAAACAUCUGACCAGUAACUAGAUACUUUAAUUCACAGCCUUUCUGACCAGUAACUAGAUACUUUAACUCGCAGCCUAUCUGACCAGUAACCAGAUUGCCUGUGGGUUAGAGUAUUUAAUCAGUAACCACACUGGCUAGUGAUUAGAACAUCUGGCCAGUAACCAGACCAGUAACCAGAUAGCCUAUUAGUUGAAAUCUCAAGCCAGGAAACAUUUGUAAUUUUGUACUUAAGCAAGGUUGAUAAUCAUAAUUGCUCCUGUCACUAUGUCUGAAAAUGUUGGUUAUGUUUAGAAGUGUUUUCACACCAAUGUACUGGUCCAAAAAUGUUUAUUCUAUCUUCUGGAGAGGACUAGAGUGUUUUUGACAAGCCUGUCUCUGGACAAAAUUAUUAGAAUUUUCUCCCCCCAUGGGCAACUCAUUUUGUUUCACUGUAUGUGUAGUAUAAAUACUCUUCCACUGUUUCAAUGUUUUGCAAACAAUUACUUGAGGAUAUUUCAAUAUAUAUGCCGGCAAGCAUUAAUAAAGCAUUAAUAAAGUGUUAAUAAUGAAUCAAUAAAAA